GAUGAACGCUAGCGGGAGGCCUAACACAUGCAAGCCGAGCGGUAUUUGUUCUUCGGAACAGAGAGAGCGGCGCACGGGUGCGGAACACGUGUGCAACCUGCCUUUAUCUGGGGGAUAGCCUUUCGAAAGGAGGAUUAAUACCCCAUAAUAUAUUGAGUGGCAUCAUUUGAUAUUGAAAACUCCGGUGGAUAGAGAUGGGCACGCGCAAGAUUAGAUAGUUGGUGAGGUAACGGCUCACCAAGUCAAUGAUCUUUAGGGGGCCUGAGAGGGUGAUCCCCCACACUGGUACUGAGACACGGACCAGACUCCUACGGGAGGCAGCAGUGAGGAAUAUUGGACAAUGGGUUAGCGCCUGAUCCAGCCAUCCCGCGUGAAGGACGACGGCCCUAUGGGUUGUAAACUUCUUUUGUAUAGGGAUAAACCUACUCUCGUGAGAGUAGCUGAAGGUACUAUACGAAUAAGCACCGGCUAACUCCGUG
rnacentral:rRNA from 1 species